UAAUGAACUCCGUUCGUCAGUUGGUAAAUAAUUGUUGUUUAACGUUUGCCUUCUCUCCAGGAAUUAUGGAUUUCUAAUUGUCUAGAGGGAUGCAACAUCCCACUGCCCUCGAGUCCCUGCGGAUCUGCAACUGCCAAGAGCUUGAUUUGUCACUUGGGGAUGAUAAUGGCAUGCAAUUUCAAGGCCUCAGGAACCUAACAUCUCUAGAUAUCAUAGGAUAACUGAAAUUGUAGUCUCUUCUUUCGGGUCCCAACGCAUCGCCACUCUGCAAUCGCUUGCUAUUCUUUUUUUGAACUUUGGAAAUUCGAUAAGUUUAACAAAGUGGAUAGGCAAGCUCACAUCACACCAAAAUUUUUUGUUGUUUAUUGCCUGAAAUGGACAUCACUGCAUGAAGGAGUGUGUUCAAGAACUGCAUAUUAAGGGAAGAUUGGCCUUAGAUUUGCUCAAAUCCCCCGAAGGUUUAAGUGCGACCAUUAUGCCGAAAUAUGGAAGGAUCCAAGAGGCCAGAGGUUCCACAGGGAAAGAAAGCAAGUUUUGUGUACAAGAACUGGAUAUUGAGUAUUGCCCAGAGGAGUUAAAAAGAUUGAUGCUGCGAGGAAAUAGAGGAAAAUUGGCCUGACAUUGCUCAAAUCUUGAAGGUUUAUGUGCGACUGUUAUGCGAACUAUGGAAGGUAUCCAUCUUAAUCUGAAUUAUUAUAUCCACCAUAAAACUCUUCAUCUUGUUUGGUUUUCCACUUUUUGUUCAACUUUUAGUUGAUUCUGUUUGUGUCCGAUACAAAUACACAAGUGGACAGAUAUGUUUCUGUAAUGUUCUUAUAUUAGAAAAUCAUAUAUCAAUUUGAUUUAAUAUUUUGUGACAUGAAAAACAUAAUUACGAUCCUGUAACUUAAAAUUUAAUCUAAUAAUUUAAUUGAUAUUUGAAUUCAACCCUUUUAAAAUAUUUAAGUGUGACAUCUCUUCUAAGAGGUCAGACGUUCCACUGAAAGGAAAGCAAGUUUUGUGUACAAGAACUGACAAUUGGGUAUCGUCUAGAGGAGUUAAAAGAUGGAUGCUGCGAGGAAAUGGAGGACGAUUGUCCUAAGAUUGCUCAAAUCCUGAAGGUUUAUGUACAACUGUUAAGCGGAAAUAUAUAUGGAAGGUAUCCAUCUUAUUCUGAAUAUUAUAUUGACCAUAAAAGCUUCAUCUUGUUCGAUUUUCCUCUCUUUGUUCGACUUCUAAUUGAUUUUGUUUGUGUUCGAUGCAGAUAUAUAAGUGGACAUAUAUGUUUUUAUAAUGUUCUUAUAUUAUUUAUCCUGAAUCAUGUUCUAAUUAUAAUAGAAAAUCAUAUAUCAAUUAGAUUUAAUAUUUUGUGACAUGAAAAACAUAAUUAGGAUCCUGUAACUUGAAUUUUUUCUAAUAAUUUAAUUGAUAUUUGAAUUCAAUCCUUUCAAAAUAAUUGGGUGUGACAUCUCUUCUAAAGGUCAAACAUUCCACAGGAAAAGAAAGCAAGUUUUGUGUACAAGAUCUGGAUAUUGGGUAUUUUCUAGAGGAGUUAAAAAAGACGGAUGCUGCCAGGAAAUGGAGGAAGAUUGGCCUAAGUCUACUCAAAUGUUGAAGGUGUAUGUGCAAUCGUUAUGCCGAAAUAUGGAAGAAAAGAAAGCAAGUCUUGUGUACAAGAACUGGAUAUUGAGUAUUGUCUAUAGGAGUUAAAAGAUGGAUGUUGCGAGGAAAUAGGGGAAGAUUGGCCUAAAAUUGCUCAAAUCCCGAAGGCUUUUCUGCGAAUGUUAUGCCGAAAUAUAGAAGGAUCCAUGAGGUUAGAGAUUCCACAUGAAAAUUAAGAAAGCAAGUUUUGUGUACAAGAAUAUCAAGUAUUUUGUCUAGAGGACCUUAAAGAUUGAUGAUGCUGCGAGGAAGUUUGGCCGAACAUUGCUCAAAUCCUGAAGGUUUAUGCGCGACGGUUAUAUAGAAAUAUUGAAGGAUCCAUGAGGUUAGAGAUUCCACAUGAAAAGAAAGCAAGUUUUGUGUACAAGAAAUAUCGAGGAUUUUGUCUAGAGGAGCUAAAAGACUGAUGUUGCGAGGAAGAUUGGCCUAACGUUGCGAGGAAGAUUGCUCAAAUCUUUGUGUACGACGCAGAAAUAUGGACGGGACUAAAGACUUUCCAGAAGGUUUAAUUGCAAAAUUUGAAGUCUUAAGGACUUUAGGUAAGUUUUUGAAAUUCCUAGUUAUAUUUUGUUGGCCCUUGUCGAGGCUAUUGCAAAUUUAUUGUUUUAUUCAGAGCUUAGGUCAUUGUCGUGGCCAAUUUAAUUUGUUUAAUUAUUAUUGAAUUGAGGAGAACGGGACCAAAUGUAGAUGUAUUGGUGAAGGGUUGUUGUGAUAGUUGUGUUUGAUGGUUGAUGGUAGGAUGUAGAUUAUUGUCUUUACCACAUCUUGAGGAACCAAUUGAUAUCGCUUUACUUGAAAGAACUCUUAGGCAACAAAGAAGGAACAUUAGAGAUCCUGAAAUUUUAAGAGAACUUGAAAUUGAAGUAGAUAAAAUGGCUAAUGAACAUGAUAAUCUCGGAAAUCCUAAUGCUGAAAAUGAAAAUUUAGCACCAAUGACUCUUAGGGACCAUUUUGUACCCUCUACAUACAUAUCUCCAUCAUGCAUUGUCAUGCCUAAUGUUGAGGCCCAUCAUUAUGAGAUCAAAUCUACCACAAUUCAAAUGCUUCCAACAUAUCACGGGUUUGAUAAUGAGGAUCCUUAUAAACAUCUUGAUGAAUUUUUGGAAAUCUGCUCCAUUAUCAAGAUAAGGGAUUUUCCCCAAGAUGUACUUCAUAUGCUUCCCUUCCCAUUCUCUUUGAAAGAUAGAGCAAAAUAUUGGUUGAACUCUCUUGUUGCUAAUUCCAUCACUUCAUGGGUCCAAUUGCAACACGAAUUUCUUAAAAGUAUUAUCCUGUGAGUAAAACCAAUCAAACAUGUUGUUCUAUUCUAAGUUUCUCCCAAAUUGAUGGGGAAAUAUUUUAUGAGACGUGGGAGAGACUUCAAGAUUUUCUGAGGAAGUGUCCGCAUCACCAAAUUCCAAAGUGGCAAUUGGUACAAGCCUUCUAUGAUGGUUUGAUAGAACCACAUAAACAAUUAAUUGAUUCUUCAUGUGGGGGCAUGUUUGUGUCCAAAAAUCCAGAUGAUACAUGGACUCUACUUGAGAACAUAAGCAAAAAUUCUAUGUAACAUGGUUCUCGUAGAGCUUCUACAUCAAAUGUGAUUAAACCCUCAAAUCCAUGUCAAUCACGACCUCUUAGGGAAGAAUCUUCUCAAGUGGAUGCUAUAGCUCACAAAGUUUUUUAGCUUGUGGCACCAUAUCUCUCAUCUUCUCAAAAUUCUUUAUCAAGUGCCAUGUGUGCACAUUGCAUGAGUACUUUCCAUAAUGCAGAAGAUUACCCCACACAGGAGCAAUUUUCUAAAAGUAUGCCAGAAUAGGUAAAUGUCAUGUUCUCUUACCCUGGAAAUAAUCCUUAUUCCAAUACAUACAAUCCGGGUUGGAGAGAUCAUCCAAAUUUGUCGUGGAGGCAACAAGCCCCACAAAAUUCAUCAUUCCAAGGUCAUGGACAAUCAAAUCAAUCUAAUUCUCAGUCCAUGAACCGGCCAUUUCAAGCUUCUUCAAACUAUCGUCCUCCUUCCUGUAAUGCAAAAUUUUCAAAUCAGAAUCAUGUUCCUUCACAACAGUCUCAAUUGGAUAAGUUAAUAAAUUCCAAUAAGCAGAUAAUGGCUACUCUUAGUGGUUUGCAAUCAACUGUGCAAUUGAUUAAUACUUACUCUCAAUUAAUAGCUAAUAUUGAAACCCAACUGGGACAAAUGGCUAAUUCAAUAAAUCCAUUUCACAAACUUCCAACUCAAACUGUAGUGAACCCGAAAGGGCAGUAUAUGAUUAAUGAGAUCACUCCUCCGAGUGGAUCAAAUAUUAAGCAAGUUAAAACAAUCACCACACUUCGGAGUGGAAGAGUUGUGGACAAUAAGGUUUAUGAAAAAGCUGGAAUUCUUACCCCCAAUGAUUCAAGGUAGUUCUCCUAAGGCCAUCAUCGAUUUACUCCAUCAUCACCAUUCUUCAUCUAAAAAUCUAAAAGAUAGUCCAGAAAUUCCAAAUCCGCCAAUCCAAAAUGUUGAGACAUCUUAUGAGCCAAAGGCUCCUUUUCCUCAGUGCCUCAUAGAGUCCACACAUUUUGGGAAAAAGGGCGAUAAAAUUCAGGAUAUGUUUGAAGUCUUUAAGCAAGUAAAGAUCAACAUUCCUCUCCUUGAUGCCAUUAAGCAAAUUCCACCUUAUGCAAAAUUUCUUAAAGAUUUGUGUACUCAAAAACGCAUUUCUAAGAGCAAUAUUCCAAAGAAUGUGAGGUUAACUGAGCAAGCGAGUGCUAUCAUUUAACAUAAUACACCUCCAAAGUUUAAGGAUCCGGGUGCCCUGACAAUCUCAUGUGUCAUUGGAGACAAUGAGAUAGAAAAUGACUUCCUUGACUUAGGAUCAAGUGUAAAUCUGAUUCCUUACUAAGUAUACUUACAGCUUAGCUUAGGAGAACUUAAAUCCACUUCAGUUGUUUUACAACUUGCAGAUAGAUCUGUAAAGCGACCUCUUAGUAUCAUUGAAGAUGUACUUAUCAAGGUGGACAAUUUCUACUUUCUAGUAGACUUUGUGGUUCUAGAUACUGAACCAGUCCAUAAUCCAAUAAAACAUAUCCCUGUGAUCCUUGGUCGGCCUUUCUUAGCCACUGCUAAUGCUUUAAUUAAUUGCCUAAUAAGGGUGAUGGAUAUUUCUUUUGGAAAUAUGAAGGUAAAGCUUAACAUCUUUAGUGCUUCUCAACAUCCUCAAAGGGAAUAUGAGUGUUUCUCUCUUGACAUCAUUGAUGAAAUGGUUGAAGAAUUUCUCUAAUUUAUUUUAAGUCAAGAUCCUCUUGAGACUUGCUUGGCUCAUUUUGACUUUGAAAAUUAUGAUAUUGAUUAAUCCAUUUGUGAGGUCAACACUUUGCUUGAAGCCAAUGUAAUCUCGGACUUUCCUCCUUGGAAAGUGCCAAAUGAAUCUCUUCUAUUAAUUUCCAACACUCCUUCUGUCCCUUAAUUCAUUGAAAUCUCCACCUUAACUUGAGUUAAAGCUACUUCCGGUCAAUCUCAAGUAUGUAUUUCUUGGUGUAAACAAAACUCUUCCGGUCAUCAUUGCAUCGAAUCUUUCAAAAGAUCAAGAAAAUAGCCUUCUAGCAGUGCUACAAGAGCACAAAGAAGCUAUUGGUUGGUCGGUGGCUGAUUUAAAAGGAAUUAACCCUUCUAUUUGCAUGUACCGCAUUCUUUUGGAUGAAGAAGCUAAACCUUCCCAAGAGGUGCAGCGUCGGUUGAAUCCAAACAUAAAAGAGGUUGUCAUGAAAGAGAUAAUUAAGCUAUUAAAUGCGGGAAUCAUUUACCCAUCUUGGAUAGCAAGUGGGUGAGUCCAACUCAAGUUGUUCCAAAAAAGUCUGGCCUCACUGUUGUUAAAAAUUCAACGGGAAAACUCGUGCCACAACAUACUACCACUAGUUGGCGUGUGUGCAUUGAUUACAGGAAAUUAAGCUCUGUAACUAGGAAAGAUCAUUUUCCACUCCCAUUCAUUGAUCAAAUCCUAGAGAGAUUAGCUGGUUAGAGUUACAAUUGUUUUCUUGAUGGUUAUUCUGGUUAUAACCAAGUGGCUAUAGAUCCUCACGAUCAAGAGAAGACCAUCUUCACUUGUCCUUUUGGAACUUUCGCUUAUCAUCGCAUGCCCUUUGGGUUGUGCAAUGCGUCGGCCACUUCUCAAAGAUGCAUGAUAUCCAUAUUUUCUAAUAUGGUCGAAAAAUUUCUUAAAGUAUUCAUGGAUGAUUUUUCUGUCUUUGGAUCUUCUUUUGACUCUUGUCUUCAUAAUCUGUCACUCGUCCUUCAAAGAUGCAAAGAAUCCAAUCUGAUUUUAAGUUGGGAAAAGAGUCACUUUAUGGUAUAAGAAGGGAUUGUAUUGGGACAUAUUAUCUCUAAAAGAGGGAUUGAGGUCGAUAAGGCAAAAGUUGAAUUAAUUUAUAGCCUUUCUACUCUCUCUUCAGUGAGACAAAUUCGAUCUUUUCUUGGUCAUACAGGCUUUUACCGCCAUUUCAUUAAAGAUUUUAGUAAGAUAUCUCGAGGCUUUUACCGCCAUUUCAUUAAAGAUUUUAGUAAGAUAUCUCGACCUUUAUGCCAUCUUCUUGAAAAGGACACUAACUUUGACUUUGAUGAAGCAUGUUUGGAAGCUUUUAAGAAGCUUCGUUCGCUACUUUCUUCUACCCCAGUCAUGAAACCACCUAACUGGUUUCUCCCCUUUGAGAUCAUGUGUGAUGCAUCCGAUUAUGCAUUAGGUGCUGUUUUGGGCCAGCGUGUGGAUAAAACUCCUCACGCUAUUUACUAUGCUAGUAAGACUUUGUCAGAUGCUUAAAUGAAUUAUACAACAACUGAGAAAGAAUUGCUAGCAGUUGUCUAUGCCUUGGAUAAAUUCCAUUCAUAUCUGCUUGGAUCCAAGGUUAUCAUUUUCACGGAUCAUGCGCAUUAAGACAUCUACUUACGAAGAAAGAGACCAAACCUCACCUCAUUCAUUGGAUACUCUUACUCCAAGAAUUCAAUAUUGAGAUUAAGGACAAAAAAGGAACUGAUAAUGUAGUUGCAGACCAUCUUUCUAGGCUUCUUAUUGAGAACACUUCUGAUUUAUAUUCAGUUCAUGACUCCGUUUUUGGAUGAACAAUUGUUCCAGAUUUCUCAUGAGUCACCUCCUUGGUUUGCUGAUAUUGUCAACUAUCUUACGGUUGGAAAAACUCCAUCAAAAUGGUCUAAACAAGAGAAAGACUGGUUCUUCGCUCAAAUCAAAAAUUUCUUUUGGGAAGACCCGAAAUUGUUCAAGUAUUGCACGGAUCAAAUAAUCCGGAGAUGUAUUCCUGAAUUUGAAGUCCAAAACAUUUUGAAAUUCUGCCACACUCUUGAAUAUGGAGGACAUUUCAGUGCCAAAAAGACUUCAUAUAAAGUCCUUCAGAGUGGAUUUUAUUGGCCUUCAUUAUUCAGGGAUGCUUAUAACUUUUGCAAGUCUUGUACGCAAUGUCAAAAGCUUGGGGCUAUGUCUAAAAGGGAUAUGAUGAUAUUGAACUCCAUUUUAAUCAUCGAAAUCUUUGAUGUCUGGGGAAUAGAUUUUAUGGGACCAUUUCCAUCUCCAUAUGGUUAUAUCUACAUUCUCCUAGCAGUGGAUUAUGUAUCUAAGUGAGAAGAAGCUGAGGCAACCAUAACCAACGACCAUACUGCAGUGGUCCAGUUCAUUCAAAAGAAUAUAUUCAGUCGAUUUGGCAUACCUCGAGCACUCUUAAGUGAUGGAGGAUCUCAUUUUUGCAAUCGUUAUUUUCGAUCUGUUCUCCUUAAAUACUCUAUCAGUUAUAAGGUUGUCACGCCUUACCAUCCUCAAUCAAGUGGUCAAGUGGAAGUUUUUAAUCGGGAAAUCAAGCAUAUUCUUGAAAAAAUGGUUCGACCGGACCGCAAAGAUUGGUCAUUACGACUAAAUGAUGCACUUUGGGCCUACCAAACUGCGUUUAAGAUGUCAAUUGGCAUGUCACCAUACUGGAUUGUUUACGGUAAGGCAUGUCAUCUUCCGGUUGAAUUAGAACAUCAUGCAUUUUGGGCCAUUAAAUGGUUUAAUUUUAAUCUUGAUCAGGCUGGCUCUAACAGAAAAUUACAGCUCAAUGAGAUAGAUGAAAUCCGGAAUGAGGCUUAUGCAAAUGCAAAAAUUUAUAAAGCAAAGACCAAAGCAUUCCAUGAUAAACAUAUCACUAAGAAGUCUUUUACUUCAGGUCAAAAAGUUUAGCUUUUCAAUUCCAGAUUGUAACUUUUCCCAGGGAAACUUCGAUCACGCUGGGAAGGUCCUUUUCUGAUCACUUCUGUAUUCUCUUAUUGUGCAGUUGAGCUGAAAGACCUGAAGAAUGGGAAUCUUUUUUAAGGUUAAUGGUCAGCAGCUUAAGCCUUACAUUGAUAACUUAGUCCUGGUUGGAUAUAUGGAUUCUAUUAUCUUAACAGAUCCAAUUUAUAAAGACUAAAAGGAUUCCCAUAAUGUUUAGCUAUCGACAUUAAAUUUAGCAUUCCAAGGAAGCAAUUCUUUCUAUUCUAAGCUUCUUUCUCUACUUGUUAUCAUAAACCAAAAAUUCUCUACAAAUGGUUAAAUAGAAUUCCCACUUCAUAUUCUUUAAGAAUCAUUUACAUGUCCAUUCAAGUGGCCAUAGUGGGUCUCUAUAGUCAUACAACGGUUUGAUAACAUUUUUGGGUGUCUUUGAUCAGCAAUUCACAAAAGCUACAGUAGCACUCGCGUUCGGACGCCAUCCCUAGCAUCCGAAAGCCAAUUAUAGCCUCAUCUCGCGUCCUGACGCCACCACCGACGUCCAGACGCCGACACCUGAUGCUUCUCGCGUCCGGACGCCACCACCAGCAUCCGGACGCCAAUGCAGCACCUUCAACCCUCAGCGCCCACAAUCGAGCAUUCAGCGCCCCACUACAGUUCGUGUCCGGACGCCAUGGCUUGCGUCUAGACGAGAAGGCCUAUUUGAAGGGACCUGAGUCCAGUCUUAUGUUUAUAACUUGCUACCCUCUUUUUACAAUUGCAUAUCCUCAUUUCCAUCCUCAAACCCUACGUGUAAAACCUUCCAACCCUACCUUACCCACCUUCUCUAAUUUGUCUUUAACCUUCCCAAUCUCCAUUUUUCAUCAAAUAAUCCUCUUUCAUCAUCCUCCUCCAUCAUCAUCAUUCAAUCAAAGAGGGCAAGGUUUCCAUCUCCAAAUUGAGGUAAGUUCUUUCCUUUUCAAUCUUUCAAUUCUAGAAUUAUUCAUAGAGAUGAAGGUUAGAACUUAAUCAUGUGGGAAAUUAAUUCUAUUUAAAGUGAAGAAAGGUUGUGUUUUCAUUCUAGAUCCACGAUUGUAGAUUCAAAUAAUCUAAUCUUCACAAGUGUUCUCUACUUUUCAGUCUUGCACACCAUGUGUUCGACAAAAGUCCUGAACCAACUUCUUUCACUCAAAUGGCUUCUUCUUCUGCUUCUAAGCGCCCUCCUGUCUCGAAUGACUCUUAUGAAGACACUCCUACUCCGGAUUGGUCUAAAUGGCCUCUUCAAUUUGAAACUACAUUUGAUGUUAGGAAUGUCUUUCGUAGACAUGUUGAUACAGACUGGCAGUAAAAAAUCUUAGGAAACGGGGAUUAACAUCCAUUUUUCAGCCAUGUCAUAAUGUGGUUCAUCCUCGUUUAGUUCGUCAGUUUUACUAGAAUCUUUCAAACAAACUGCAGGAACCAACCAAGGUUUUCACUGAAAUUGAUGGCACCAUGUGUUUGGUUACAUUAGAGGAUAUUGUGGAUGUCUAAUCGACUCACCAAUCGAUGUGGACGGUUAACCUCUCUUUGCUCAUCUACCAGAUAUUAUUGAUUUAUUAGAUGACCUCACCGAUGUUUUGAAAGAAGUAGCGUAUAGUAAUCUCAAAAGUUUAGAUAGCACUUCCCCUAAAAGAUCUUUCGUUCCACCCCGAAUUUGGUUCAUUGAGGUUUUACUGGCUACAAAUGUUCUUCCAAUUGGGAAACCUACAGCAAAUAACAGUGUUCUUUUGGAUUGUCUUUCUUCCACAGAGAAUGAAUUUUGGUUUUCAGUUCCCACUUUGAUUAUGAAUCAAAUCCUAAAGGUUUAUAACAAAUUGAUUGUCCGCAGAAAGGAAAGUUCUAUGACUUGGUCAUUUCCAUUUCCUUAUCUCAUCACGAAGCUGAUUAAGAACCAAGGGUUGGUUAUUCCAUCUAAUGAGAAGCGGGAAACUAUAAAGAAGGUUUACAAUUUCAAAGAUUGGAAGGAGCAACUUCUUGCUCGAACUGGUGAAAUCGAUGGAUGAUCAUGCUCCAAACGGAGCCGACACUUCACCCUCCAAUUUGUAGGGUGAACUGGAUCUCUUUAGUUUUAUUUAGUCGUGUUAUUUACUUUUGUUUUGUGUGAUUUGAAUAAUUUUAGGACUUGGGCCAUGUUUGGCAUGACAUUUGUGGGUGCACUUUUUGAUGUGCAUAUAUUUUGGUUUUCUUUCCCAGUUUUGAAUAAAGUAUGACGUAGUACUUUAUAUUUAUAUCUUUAUAAAUGUCUAUGCUUUUAUGCUUGGUGUAUAGUUUUUUCUGAACAGAUUAUUAGGUCCAAGUUUAGGGGAAGAUAUUUCGCUGUUUCACUACCAAUGGUUGCACUGAAGUCCAAGAUUCGCACUUGGCCUUAUUGCUAAUAAGGAAUAAGAAUAAAGUUUUAAAGGGUUUUUGAAGCACAAGUCAUAUCAGGCCUACAUUCCAAGUGAUCAUCAAAUGAAAAUGACAUGAAGAGGCGAUGGAAAUAACUGGAGCUAAAGAGAGAAGCUUGUGUCAGAGUAGAAAGCCUAGCAUUCGGAUGCAAGAAAUGGCAUCCCGACGCCAUCCUCCAGCAGCUCGCUUCCAGACACCCAUUCUGGCGUCCAGAUGCCACAUCCUUCAACAGCUCAUGUCCAGACACCAUUCUUCGCUUCCGGACAUGAGCCCACGGGCCCCCAUUUUAUUUAAGUUCAAUUUUGUCUAUCUUGAGUUGGGAUUCGAAUUUAAAAUGUGGGAUUUGGUAUUUUAAACUCACGGGAGGAUAAAAGAGGGGGAGAGGCUGGAAGAAAGGAGUCUUGAUUUUGUUUUGGGAUAAAGAUAGAGGAGAGGGAGGAUUUUUAGGGUUCUUGGAGGCUGAGCUUGCAACAAUGGUGAGAGAGGGGAAUUCUUUCUCUUCUUCAAUCAUGGAGGUUGUUGCCAUAUUCAUGAGAGGCUAAACCCCUUCUCUAGGGAGUUGAUGUAGCCUAGGCCAAGUAAACAUGUUUUGAUUUGUAUUUCAAUUUGGGGAUGAUUAUAGUAUAUAUUCAGUUUCAAUCAUGGAGGUUGUUACAUUGACUUGAUGUAUGUUGCAUUGAAUUGAUGCAUGUGUUAUCAUAUGAAUAUAUGUUCGAGUUGAUUUGUUUUCU